UCAAACUUGGUCAUUUAGAGGAAGUAAAAGUCGUAACAAGGUUUCCGUAGGUGAACCUGCGGAAGGAUCACUAGUGAUUAAACCGGAGAGCGUCUUCAUUGACCUCUCCAACCCUUCACAUCCACAUACACCCUGUGAACCGUUUGGCUUUGUUGAGCUGAAAGUUGAAAGAAUAGGCUUGCAAAAGUCUAGUCGGACGAUGGACAGAUCGCAAGGUCAUCAUCAUAUACAUACACGAAGUCUAAUGAAUGUAAACGUUUUAUAUAAACAAAAUAAAACUUUCAACAACGGAUCUCUUGGUUCUCGCAUCGAUGAAGAACGCAGC
rnacentral:misc_RNA from 1 species